rnacentral:rRNA from 1 species
GAUGAACGCUGGCGGCGUGCCUAAUACAUGCAAGUCGAGCGAAUGGAUUAAGAGCUUGCUCUUAUGAAGUUAGCGGCGGACAGGUGAGUAACACGUGGGUAACCUGCCCAUAAGACUGGGAUAACUCCGGGAAACCGGGGCUAAUACCGGAUAACAUUUUGAACCGCAUGGUUCGAAAUUGAAAGGCGGCUUCGGCUGUCACUUAUGGAUGGACCCGCGUCGCAUUAGCUAGUUGGUGAGGUAACGGCUCACCAAGGCAACGAUGCGUAGCCGACCUGAGAGGGUGAUCGGCCACACUGGGACUGAGACACGGCCCAGACUCCUACGGGAGGCAGCAGUAGGGAAUCUUCCGCAAUGGACGAAAGUCUGACGGAGCAACGCCGCGUGAGUGAUGAAGGCUUUCGGGUCGUAAAACUCUGUUGUUAGGGAAGAACAAGUGCUAGUUGAAUAAGCUGGCACCUUGACGGUACCUAACCAGAAAGCCACAGCUAACUACGUGCCAGCAGCCGCCGUAA